rnacentral:lncRNA from 1 species
AAUUUAAGUUCAAAUUAAAAUUUAAAAUUAUAUAUUUAAUUUUUAAAUUUUAACUCAUAUUUUAAUUAAAAAAGUUGAAAAAAUAAAUUUAAUUCCAAUAAAUAUCCAUUCCGUCCCGAUUCAACUUCCAAUCCGGCCUCCUAGGCCGGAUUGAAAAAAGGAGUGAUUGGGGGAUUCCCAUUUCACUCGGGAAUCGGAAUCGAAAUGGGACUCCCGCGUACCAAACACCCACAAAUGGAUUCACAUAUUUCUAUUCCAAUUCCAUAGUGAAAAAGAAGUGAACCAAACACGUCCUAUGUCUCUUAUUCUCAUUUUAAAUCAACUAUUUAAGUCGCCAUCAAUAUUGUACUAAAACCAAAUAAACCGUGCUGAACCAACGAAUUAUUUCAGUUCUGUUCGAUUCAUGUCUCUAAUUUGACCAGUUCAAUUUCUUAAAAAUUAUAAAA